UGAUGCAAUCUGUGUUAGUGGCACCUCCUCUGGGGCAAAUCCUGACACUGGGCCCAGGGUGUGAUGCACUGAGCCUGGUGUGGAUCUCCUGGAUCUUCAAAGGACAGAGGAGAAAUGUUGCCAACUGAUUAAUAUUUUAAGCAUGUAGACAACCUGCAGACCUUGCUCUUCGACUCAGAUUUCUCCUUUCUCCCCUCCCCAAAAAUGGUUUUGCUGCUUUAAACUCAUUGUUCAGAUUUCCUACUCCCAGAUUUGGAUUUCAAUAUUCCACAUUCUCGUGUGCAAGUGUAAGCUGAGAUACAGAGAGUUUUGGUGAGAAAAGAGAGAUAAAGGAGCUGAAGAGGAACUUCCAGUGGCCUCUCUGUGCUGGCCAAGCCCCAAAUCCGUGAUGGCUUUUUGUGGACCUUGAGGCUGGGGUCCAGGGGAGCACAAGAAUUUGGAUAUUGGAGAUCAGAACUUGAAUCCUAGAAUAACCCAGCCCUUACUUGCACUCCUUCCCUGGGCAAAGGUUCUGUGCAGAGAUUUCCUCCACCACCACCACGUGCAGCUGAGGGAGAAGCUCCCAAGCACUCUGUGCAGCCUUUGAGGACCGUGAUUUAGAGAGUGACAUCCAAAGAUUUGCAAUGAACAGCUUUUAUCUGUGUGUGUUUGUGUGAGAAGCAGCGAGGCGGGAAAGGAAGCACAGCCAGAGCUCUUCCACCCACCCAGGACAGGAUGGCCAUGGAUCCUCUGCUCUGGAACUCUCCCUGUCACCUCCCAGGGACAUCUGCUGGGUCUGCAAAAGGAGGAACUGGGGUCUCCACACUGCAACAGGCUGGGAGCAAGUCCAACAGGCACAGUGUGGUCAAUGACAAGGCAUCCUGAGCCUGGCUUGUUCCAAUCAACUUCUGCAGGAGCGGGAUCGCCAAGGGAUCGCGGGAGUCGGGAACAGCGUUUAGCACUUUGCUGACCUUGACUCCACCUUUUCAAAACUCCUUCUGGAACCAAGAUUUUUUCCAGCCAUUUUCAAGUGAUUUCUUCCACUUCCUCCAGAGACUGAAACACUUGAUUGACCUGUGAUGUUCAGUGAAAUUCUUGCACUGGAAAUGAAAAAAAUGUUGGAAACCCUAGACAUGAAAAUGCUCAUGAACUUUAAAAAAAAAAAAAAAAGUCAAAAAAGUUUUCAACAUAUCAUCUGUCCAGGGUGUUUAACAACAGGUAUUUGGGGUUUCUUUUCAUUGUGAAGGAAGAUUUAGGAGCAAACAUGAAAAAUAGAUAUUUAAUUUUAAAUGUAUGAUUUUUACCUGUAUUUUAGCCUUGUAUAUAACACUCUGUCUCACUUGAGAGUUGCUAAUAACCAGGAAAUGAUUACUGAGAACUUCUGAAAUGACAUCGAGUAAAAAAUUAAAG